rnacentral:rRNA from 1 species
GAUGAACGCUGGCGGCGUGCUUAAUACAUGCCAGUCGAGCGAACAGACCAGGCGCUUGCUCCUCUGACGUUAGCGGCGGACGGGUGAGUAACACGUGGAUCACCUCCCUAUAUUACUGGGAUAACUUCGGGAAACCGGAGCUAACACCGGAUAAUAUAUUGAACCGCAUGGUUCAAUAGUGAAUUACGGUUUUGCUGUCUCUUAUAGAUGGAUCCGGGCCGUAUUAGCUAGUUGGUAAGGUCACGGCUUUCCAAGGCAACCAUGCGUAGACGAAGUGAGAGAGUGGUAGGCCACAUGGGAGCUUAGACACGGUCCAGACUCCUACGGGAGGCAGCAGUAGGGAAUGGGCGGCAAUGGGCGAAAGCCUGACGGAACAGCGCGGAGUCAGUGAUGAAAGUCUUGGGAGCGGAAUACUCGGUUAUUAGGGAAGAACAAAUGUGGAAUGAACUAUGCACGGCGUGACGGUACCGAGUAAGAAAGCCACGGCUAACUACGUG